rnacentral:misc_RNA from 1 species
UGCUUGCUUGCCUUUGGCAAUGCGGGGUGUGGUUCGUUCGAUAGCGUUGUGUCUUGCAGACGCGAGUGCGUGUGAGUGGCGAUUGGGAUGGUUGUGCUUUUUGGCUCCUUGCUCAUGGUUUUGGAAUUUCCAGCAUGCAACCCUUCUCAUGCGCGCCCUGUGCCGGUGGGCCUCGGUGUUCUCUUGUGGUUCCUGUGUUGCCUACCCAUUUAUCGGUAAAUUUGUGUUCCGCGUAGACCCGUUCCUUCCACACCCCCUCGUGGAGGUUGAUGGGGGAUUGAUUUCUAGUUUGAUGCGUGUUUUGCGUUAGUUGUGCGUUCUAACGGCUCACGUGGCCACUCGUGUCUAUUGUUCCCUUGGAUGCGGUGCAUGCGGUGAUCGUGGGCUGGUGUUUGUGCCCCGUUUAGUCCCUAUGAUAUAUCGGUUGCCUUUGAAAGACACUUUGCNNUAGUGCCGGUCUUGCUGUCCCAUUGGUGGUGGCAACACUUGCACGCCGUGCAUAGUCGUCAAUGGAUGCUACCUGGUUGA